UGGGGAAUUUUGGACAAUGGGCGCAAGCCUGAUCCAGCCAUGCCGCGUGUGUGAAGAAGGCCUUCGGGUUGUAAAGCACUUUCAGACGGAACGAAAUCGCGCGGUUGAACAUUCCGCGUGGAUGACGGUACCGUAAGAAGAAGCACCGGCUAACUACGUGCCAGCGGCCGCGGUAAUACGUAGGGUGCGAGCGUUAAUCGGAAUUACUGGGCGUAAAGCGCACGUAGGCGGAUUUGUUAGUCGAGGGUGAAAUCCUGAGGCUCAACCUCAGAACUGCCUUCGAUACUGCAAGUCUUGAGUCCGGGAGAGGUGAGUGGAAUUCCUAGUGUAGAGGUGAAAUUCGUAGAUAUUAGGAAGAACACCAGUGGCGAAGGCGGCUCACUGGCCCGGUACUGACGCUGAGGUGCGAAAGCGUGGGGAGCAAACAGGAUUAGAUACCCCCGUAGUCCCUGAGCGGGCUGGCAAGGCGCAU
rnacentral:rRNA from 1 species